CUGGAGGAAGCAGAUCAAGAGCGGACCGGCGGCGACACGAUUAUUUCAUGUUUACAUGUUUUUAUUUUGACCCGGGAAGGUUCUGGUUCUGUUGAUCUGAAGGUUCUUUUUAUCUGAGCAGUAGAACCAGAACCGAAGCAGAACCAAAGAACCAAACAUCGCGAGACACGAGUUUUCCCGCCGCACAGCCUGCUGGGAAAUAUAUGAACGUCAGAGCUGCGUUGAUUGGAACACCGCGGCGCGUGCAGAGAAAAGUCAUGUCUGGUCUGUUGGAUCAGAGGAACAGAAUCCAGCAGCAGGUGAAGCAGCUGCAGGAGAGACUGAAUCAGAAUGAACUGGAGCUGCUGAGCAGUGAGACAGAUGAUGUAUCGGAUGAUGAGGACCUGGAGGACGAUGUUGGACAGACUGGACAGUGUGCAGCAGGUCUGGUGGCUCAGAGGGACCAGAUCCAGAAGGAGAUCCAGAACCUGGAGGACGUCCUCGGUCCACUCAGUCCCAUCAGUCCCAUCAGCGUGUCAGGUACCUGUCUCACCUGUCUGCCACAUUUUCAUACCUGUGAAGCCAUUUCCAGGGUUGAAUGUGUUUACAAGUCCAGUUUUUAGAUGUUCUGCUCCUCAUAGUCAGAACCUGGAAAGACUGGACCCUGGAACUGCAGACAUGGAUCCAUGAUUGUCCACCAUCAGGAGCUUUAUGGGUUCCUGCUGGUCUCCCUGGAGCUCCUGCUGGUCUCCAUGGUGAUCAUCUUUCAUGAUGACGACAGCAGCAGCGACGAGGUUAGUAACUGUAACUAGCUGUAACUGUAACUAACUAAUUGUAACUAGCUGUAACUGUAACUAGCUGUAACUGUAACUAACUGUAACUAGCUGUAACUAGCUGUAACUGUAACUAACUAACUAACUGUAACUAGCUGUAACUGUAACUAGCUGUAACUGUUAUUAACUAACUGUAACUAGCUGUAACUAACUAACUGUAACUAAUUGUAACUAACUAAAUGUAAAUAGCUGUAACUGUAACUAACUAACUGUAACUAGCUGUAACUGUAACUAACUAAAUGUAACUGUAACUAGCUGUAACUAGCUGUAACAAACUGUAACUGUAACUAACUAACUUUAACUAGCUGUAACCGUAACUAGCUGUAAUUAACUAACUGUAACUACCUGUAACUGUAACUAACUGUAACUGUAACUAACUUUAACUAGCUGUAACUGUAACUAACUUUAACUAGCUGUAACUGUACCUAACUGUAACUAGCUGUAACUGUAACUAACUAACUAACUGUAACCGUAACUAGCUGUAACUGUAACUAGCUGUAACUAACUAACUGUAACUAGCUG
ensembl:lncRNA